ensembl:snoRNA
UAUAUCUAUUUGAGAGACCUAGUACAGUUACUGUCUGUGGCUGAGGUUUCCACUACAGAUGCAAGAAAAAGGGUCCUGUGCUUUCUGUCUAUCUGAUUGACUACUGAAGUUGUCAA